CAGUUCGGAUUGUAGUCUGCAACUCGACUACAUGAAGCUGGAAUCGCUAGUAAUCGCGAAUCAGAAUGUCGCGGUGAAUACGUUCCCGGGUCUUGUACACACCGCCCGUCACACCAUGGGAGUCGGGAAUGCCCGAAGUCAGUGACCCAACCGGAAGGAGGGAGCUGCCGAAGGCAGGCUCGAUAACUGGGGUGAAGUCGUAACAAGGUAGC
rnacentral:rRNA from 1 species